GCCGAUGUGAUGAAACUGGUAAACAUGCGCGACUCAAAAUCGCGUGCUUCCGGGCUUGUGGGUUCAACUCCCACCAUCGGCA
rnacentral:tRNA from 1 species